rnacentral:lncRNA from 1 species
AUUAUGUUGGCACUAGAAUGUACAGAAUUUAUCUAAUCUAAGGUUUUUUUAUAUGAGUAGAAUCACUGUGGUAUUAUGAUAAGAAAAUCUUCAGUAAAGGAAUGAAACUGGUUGUGACAGAUAAAGACUUCAAUGGAGACAUUUCCCCCAGGACCACCAUUUUUCUUCCUUCAGUGGCUGAAACAAAUCUCCAUAAGGCAGGGACAUAUCUCUGUCUUCUGGGGAAUUGUUUCCCCGAUAUUGUUAAGGUAUAUUUGAAAGAAAAGGAUGGGAAUAUGGUUUUAGAAUCCCAUCAGGGAGAUGCCAUGAGGACCAAUGACACUCACAUGAAGUUUAAUUGGUUAACUGUGACUGGAGACCCAAUGGAUGAAGAGCACAAAUGUAUCAUUACACACCAGAAUAAUAAAGGAGAAGUUGAUCAAGAGAUUCUGUUUCCUCCCAUAGGGAAAGGUGGCACCGAUAUUAGUCCUACAGAAGCAGAUCUGAAAGAAGAAAAUGGUGUCAGUACUGCUUAUCCUGAGGCUUUGCUGAAAAGCAAAAAAGGGCUGGGCUAAGCACCCUUCAUGGUCCAGGACUUCUUCACCAUAGCACAGCACAGCUGCCCCAUGAGGAAGGAACCUGGUGAAGUGGGAGGACUCAGGACCAGAAGUCACAUGUCACAACCAGAGUGAGCCCUGGCUACUGAGCCAUUUUCUACCUAUCUGUAUGAUUUGUUCUUUAAAAAAAUGACACAUGAAAUUUGCACAUAUUUAUGGACUCAUGUGAUGAUUUAAUGUUUGCAAACAUUGUGUCAUGCUUAAAUCAGGAUAAGCUUAUUUUUCUCCUCAUUCAUUUCUUUGUGAGGAAAGCAUUCCAAAAUCUUUCCCGUUUUUUAAAACAGCAUAUUUUAUUUUCUACAUUUAUUGCUACCUGCCUAAGUUUAUCAAUUUUUAGAAGAAUGCAUCCAAAUUAAAUAAUUUCAGAUUCCUAUGCAAAGUAACACAUUCAAUG